rnacentral:rRNA from 1 species
AGAGAUGCACUGGGCAUAAAGCGUGCGCAGGCGGUUUUGUAAGACAGAGGUGAAAUCCCCGGGCUCAACCUGGGAACUGGCCUUUGUGACUGCAAGGCUGGAGUGCGGCAGAGGGGGAUGGAAUUCCGCGUGUAGCAGUGAAAUGCGUAGAUAUGCGGAGGAACACCGAUGGCGAAGGCAAUCCCCCUGGGCCUGCACUGACGCUCAUGCACGAAAGCGUGGGGAGCAAACA